UCUCCGUUGGUGAACCAGCGGAGGGAUCAUUACAGAGUCGUAAAACACUCCCAAACCCAUGUGAACUUACCAUUUGUUGCCUCGGCAGAGCCUACCCUGUAGCUACCCUAUAAGGUGGCUACCCUGUAGCGCCCCGCCGGUGGACCAUUAAACUCUUGUUAUUCUAUGGAUAUCUGAGCGUCUUAUUUAAUAAGUUAAAACUUUCAACAACGGAUCUCUUGGUUCUGGCAUCGAUGAAGAACGCAGC
rnacentral:misc_RNA from 1 species